rnacentral:rRNA from 1 species
AUUGAACGCUGGCGGCAGGCCUAACACAUGCAAGUCGAACGUGUGGCGGACGGGUGUGUAAUGUCUGGGAAACUGCCUGAUGGAGGGGGAUAACCACUGAAACCGGUAGCUAAUACCGCAUACCAUCAGAUGUGCCCAGAUGGGAUUAGCUUGUUGGUGGGGUAACGGCUCACGAAGGCGACGGUCCCUAGCUGGUAUGAGAGGAUGACCGGCCACACUGGAAAUGAGAGACGGUCCAUACUCCUACGAGAGGCAGCAGUGGGAAAUAUUGGACAAUGGGCGCAAUACUGAAGCAGCCAUGCCGCGUGUAGGAAGAAGGCCUUCUAGUUGGAAAGUUCUUUCAGCGGGGAGGCGGUACCCGCAGAAGAAGCACCGGCUAACUCCGUGCCAGCAGCCGCGGUAAUAC